rnacentral:rRNA from 1 species
AUUGAACGCUGGCGGCAGGCUUAACACAUGCAAGUCGAGCGGAGAUGAGGUGCUUGCACCUUAUCUUAGCGGCGGACGGGUGAGUAAUGCUUAGGAAUCUGCCUAUUAGUGGGGGACAACAUUCCGAAAGGGAUGCUAAUACCGCAUACGUCCUACGGGAGAAAGCAGGGGAUCUUCGGACCUUGCGCUAAUAGAUGAGCCUAAGUCGGAUUAGCUAGUUGGUGGGGUAAAGGCCUACCAAGGCGACGAUCUGUAGCGGGUCUGAGAGGAUGAUCCGCCACACUGGGACUGAGACACGGCCCAGACUCCUACGGGAGGCAGCAGUGGGGAAUAUUGGACAAUGGGGGGAACCCUGAUCCAGCCAUGCCGCGUGUGUGAAGAAGGCCUUAUGGUUGUAAAGCACUUUAAGCGAGGAGGAGGCUACUGAGACUAAUACUCUUGGAUAGUGGACGUUACUCGCAGAAUAAGCACCGGCUAACUCCGUGCCAGCAGCCGCCGUAAAAC